AACGAACGCUGGCGGCAUGCCUAACAUAUGCAAGUCGAACGAGACCUUCGGGUCUAGUGGCGCACGGGUGCGUAACGCGUGGGAACCUGCCCUUAGGUUCGGAAUAACUCCCCGAAAGGGGUGCUAAUACCGGAUAAUGUCUUCGGACCAAAGAUUUAUCGCCUUUGGAUGGGCCCGCGUUGGAUUAGCUAGUUGGUAGGGUAAAAGCCUACCAAGGCGACGAUCCAUAGCUGGUCUGAGAGGAUGAUCAGCCACACUGGGACUGAGACACGGCCCAGACUCCUACGGGAGGCAGCAGUGGGGAAUAUUGGACAAUGGGCGAAAGGCUGAUCCAGCAAUGCCGCGUGAGUGAUGAAGGCCUUAGGGUUGUAAAGCUCUUUUACCCGGGAUGAUAAUGACAGUACCGGGAGAAUAAGCUCCGGCUAACUCCGUG
rnacentral:rRNA from 1 species